GAUGGAAGAACGCAGCGAAAUGCGAUAAGUAAUGUGAAUUGCAGAAUUCAGUGAAUCAUCGAAUCUUUGAACGCACAUUGCGCCCCUUGGUAUUCCGGGGGGCAUGCCUGUUCGAGCGUCAUUAUAACCCUCAAGCCUAGCUUGGUGUUGGAGCAUGCUAUCUAGCAGCUCUUAAAAUCAGUGGCAGUGCCCUUCGGCUCUAAGCGUAGUAACUUCUCUCGCUAUGGAAACCGGAUGGUACGCGCCAAAACCACCAACUUUCUAUGGUUGACCUCGGAUCAGGUAGGGAUACCCGCUGAACUUAAGCAUAUCAAUAAGCGGAGGA
rnacentral:misc_RNA from 1 species